rnacentral:rRNA from 1 species
CUACGGGACGCAGCAGUGGGGGAUAUUGCACAAUGGAGGAAACUCUGAUGCAGCGACGCCGCGUGAGUGAUGAAGUAUUUCGGUAUGUAAAGCUCUAUCAGCAGGGAAGAAAGGCUCCGUAUGGAGAGAUGACGGUACCUGAGUAAGAAGCCCCGGCUAACUACGUGCCAGCAGCCGCGGUAAUACGUAGGGGGCGAGCGUUAUCCGGAUUUACUGGGUGUAAAGGGAGCGCAGACGGAUCUGCAAGUCUGAUGUGAAAGCCCGGGGCUCACCCCCGGGACUGCAGUGGAAACUGUAGAUCUGGAGUAUUGGAAGGGCAAGCGGAAUUCCUGGUGUAGCGGUGAAAUGCGUAGAUAUCAGGAGGAACACCGGUGGCGAAGGCGGCUUGCUGGACAAUAACUGACGUUGAGGCUCGAAAGCGUGGGGAGCAACCAGGAUUAGAUACCCUUGUAGUC